GUGAAGGCUGCUCGGCCUUCCCUGCAGCCCAGUGCCACAGUGUGGGCCCCUGCCCCUGCCCCUGCCCCUGAUUAGUCUUGCCCCUCCCUGUGGCUGGGAGACAGAGGAGGUCCAGGCUGGGCUGUGCCCACAGCGGCCAUGGCAAAGCACAGGGUGGGAGACUGUGGUGCUGGGCCCCUCUCUGCCUUAAUCCGCCCUCUUUGUGUCGCCAGGCAGUCAUGCUGGGCACGAAGCUGAAGCUGCAGCCAGAAAUGGAUGUUGAAAAGGACUGGCUGAGCCUCAUGAAAUGCUAUGAGACUGACCUGCAGAGACAGCUGCUGACCUUCAUGGACUCCUGGUACCAGCCCAGCUUUGACCUCAGGGACAUCGCCAGCUACCAAGGAAGUAAUUGAUUCAAGCAAAGAUCAUCUGGGGUUCCUGAGGAAGACAAAAAACCCGAAUCACAACACUGGACAGAAAGGAGCCAUUGGUACAGAGCUGCAGACCCUGAUGUGGAGGGGACGCAACAUAGACCCUGACGUGGCUGGGCUGCUUAGGCAUCACAAACCCAGUUCUUGGAAGACGCCCCUUGCUUAAACAGAUGCUAAAAACAGAGUGACAUUAAAUAUUUCUACAUCUGUAAAGUAAACUGAAUCCACAGGUUGAAACUUUGCCCCCACAAAGAAAGCAGUCCACCCAUUGCUGCCCUGGUGAAUUCUUUCAAACACCUAUGGAAGAAUCAACCAACCUCACAUAAACUCCUAGAGAAGACAGGAGAUGGGACAUGUAAAAAUGCACUUUAUUCAGCCAACUUAAAGGCAGCUAUGAAAAUAUGAGCAUUAGAAGGGAAAAUUAAAGUCCAAUACACAUCACGAACAUAGAUAUAGAAGUGCUAACCAAAUAUUAGCAAUCGACCAACCAGCAUCUGAAAGAGUUCCUCAAAAUAAUGAGAAAACAAACCUAGACUUGUAGAAAAUAUUUGCAAAAGGCAUACCUGAGAAAGCAAAUUACUCAAAAUAGACAAAGAUCUCUUAAAAAACAGUAAGAAAAUGGAACGACCCAAAUUUAAUGAGUGGGAGUCACUUCAUCAGAGAAAAUAAGAUUCAGAGAAAUGCAAAUUCGAACAACAGGAAGAUGCCGCCACAUUCCUGUUGCAUGGCCCAAAUCCACAGGACCGAAACAUCAGGUCCUGCGAGGAGGUGAGUGUGUAGCUCUCACUCCCUGCCAUGGGAAUGGAAAACGGUACGCCGCUUGCUCCCCCAAAAACAGUACGCACUCUUGCCAUGGGGUCCAGCAGUCAUGCUUCUUGGCAUUUAUUUACUUGACAGAGCUGGAACCUUAUGUCCACACAGAUACUUGUGCUCAGAUGUCUGUGACACCUUUAUUUACAUGAUUUAAUCAAAACCUGAAACCAACCACGAUGUCCUUCAGAAGGGGAAGGGAUGGAUGAACUGGAGAUUUAGCUCAGUGAUAUAAGCGCCUGCCUUGCAAGUGUGCGGUCAUGAGUUCGAUCCCUGGUCCUGGUAAAAAUGAAAAAGACAAAAAAAAAAAAAAAAGACAAUGGAAUAUUAUUAAGAACUAAAAAGAAGUGAGGUUUAGGCAGGUAUGGAGUGCAUGUCUGUAGUCCCAAAUGCUAAGCCAAAAGGAUGGCUAUUGAGACCCCAUCUCAAAAAAUAAGGAAGCCAGGAGCAGUGGCUCAUGCCUGUUAUCUCAGCACUCAGAUAGCUGAGGCAGGAGGAUCACUUCGAGUUCAAGACCAACCUGGGCUACAAAGUGAGCUCAAGGCCAACCUGAACUGCACAGCGAGAUCCUGUCUCAAGAAAGAAAAAAGAAGAAAAAGGAGAAGGAAAUAAGUUACUAAGACUUGAAAAGCAUAGAAGAAACAAAAACAUAUAGCUAAGUGAAAAAACUGAUCCAAAAAAGGCUGCAUGUUACAUGAUUCCAGCUAUGUGACCUUCUGGAAAAGGCAGACUUAAAGGAGGAGGGGUUUAAUUUGAUCUAUGGUUUUAGAGGAUUCAGUCCGUGAUUAGCUGCUCUAAGUAAGAGCAUCAUGGCAGGAGAGCAUGGAGGAGGAAAGCUGCUCAUCUCAUGGCAGCCAGGAAGCAGAGCAGGGAAUCGCACCGGACAGGAAGGGCCAGGGCCAGAUAUGGCACCCAAGGUCACACUGUAUGCCCCACGCCCACGCCCCACCCAGGUACUCCCAGAAGUGUGCAUUACUAACCCCUGGGCAGCUCCCAAGCCUGUCAAGUAGUCAGUGAAGCUUAACCACACCAGGGAACAGGUCCAACCCAUAGUAUACACAACCCUGAGAGAGGACCGUUGUGUGGACUACAGACUAUGGGACAGCAGUGCAUCCAUGUGGCUCACUGGCUGUGACAGAUGCACGCUCUCAGGGUGCUGGGAGCUGUGAGUGCCAGAGGCGAGGUAAAUGGAAACUCCACACAGUCUGCUGUUUUCCUGUGAGCCUAUAACUACUCUUAAAAAUAUCAAGUUUGUUCGUUAAGAAAGUUAACAUUAUGGUCAAGUUCAGGAAUUCCACAGAUUUAACAUUCAAAGAUCAUUAUAACAUCGCUUUAACAGAGGAAACAGCAAAAGUUGCACAGUCAUUCCAGUGUAUAAAACAGAUUUGUAAAACUCAAACCUCAUAAAACUCAGGUGUGGUGGCUCACGCCUAUAAUCUCAGCAUUUGGGAGGAUGAGGCAGGAGGAUCACUGGGAGUUUGAGACCAGGCUGGGCUGCAUAAUGAGUUUAAGACCAGUCUGGGCUCCUUAGUGAAUUCAAAGUUGGCCUGAAUUACUGCAUACUGAGGCACUGUCUCAAAAACAAAAACAAAACAAAUCUUCAAACUUUAUUAUGAUUAAAAAGUAUCAGAAAACUACAAAGGGCAUCUUCCUUAAUCUAAUCAAAAGUGUUACUUUAAAAAACACAUACAAC